rnacentral:lncRNA from 1 species
AAAUCUGGCUUCCAGCAGCCCAAGUAGCUUGAUUACCUUAUAUGGACUGACUCGAGACUAGCCAAUCAACUAAGAUGAGCCCAACUGCAGCUGAGUAGCCCCUAACGCCUUCAAUUUUGCCUCACAACUUGGAUUGAGGAGAAAGAUUUGAGAGUCUUGGCUUCUGUCUCUUUGCCGGUAGACCUUGUAAUAAAGCCUUUUCUUUUCUCAAAAGCUGGUGCCAUCGUAUUGGCUUCCGUGUACGUCAGAUAGUGAACCCUUGCCCAGUAAGUUUAGCGAUGAGCUCCCUGAUAAAAUUAAAGGUAUUCGGGUUAUUUUGGUUGACUGGAAAUAUUUUGAAAGCAUCUCCCAGUUUUGUAUAAACGCAGUCUAAGAAUCCAAUGAAGCCUCUAAGCUUUUCUCUCAAAUAUGAAUCACAAGGUUGGAUCCCUAAACGGUCCAAGUAUCCCACUGUGGAAGAUUUCUCGAUGCCAGAGUCAACUAUAAGGCACAGAACCUUGCCUAUGGAAAUCUGUUGUAUCUGCCACAAGGAUUGGAGCUUCUGAGAGAACAAAUUCAGGCCUGGUUUUCUAAUUAUGACAACAUGCAGAGGGAAAACAUCUGUGCUGUCAGAGCUGAACAGCCGCAGCGGCUCUUGGUCUGUGAAUAGGCUAAAACUGUCCCAGUUCUUCAAAGCUCCAUAUUUUCAAGACAUGGUGAAAGAAUCUCAGAUUGGACUUUUAAAAGCCUCCUGAGGCUAAGAAGCCAAGCAAAGGACUCACCAUCAGUCUUUGCCUGAAAUAUCUAUGGAUCUGGGUGAAGUCGUCUCUUCUUGGGAUCUCCAAAAUAUCCCUAACUCAUCUGGUCAAUUCAAGAUCUUGCUCUGCAUCUUGCCUGACUUUUUUUGAAUAUAUAAUUUUUUUAGAGCAGUCUUAGGUUUACAACAAAAUUGAUAGGAAGGUACAGAGACUUCCCAUAUACUUCAGGCCCUGAAACAUGCAGAGCCUCCACCAUUAUCAACAUGACUCGCUGAAAUUGUGCAUUUUACCAAGGACGAACCUACAAUGAUACAUCAUAAUCACCCAAAGUCCAUGGAUUACCCUAGGAUUCUCUUCUCGUAUUGUACGUUCUAUGGGUUCAGACGAAAGUGUAAUGACCAUGUAUCCAUCAUUAUAAUAGCAUACAAAAUAUUUUCAUUGCCUCCCAAAUCCCCUGUGCUCUGUCUAGUCACCUCCUCGCACCCAUCUUCCCUGAGAAACAGUGAUCUUUUUAUUGUCUCCAUUGUUUUGCCUUUUCUAGAAUGUCAUAUAGUCAGAAUAAUACAAUAUGUAGCCUUUCAGAUUGGCUUCUUUCACUUCGUUACAUGCAUUUAAAAUUCCUCUAUGACUUUUCAUGGUUUUUAUAGCUCCUUUCUUUUUAGUGUUGAACAAUAUUCCAUUGUCUGGAUGUACCACAGUUUAUCCAUUCACCUAUUGAAGGACAUCUUGAUUGCUUCCAAGUUUUGGAAAUUACGAAAAAAACUGUUAUAAACAUCCUGGUGUAGGGAUUUUGGUAUGUGGACGUACGUUUUCAACUCCUUUGGGUAAACACCAAGGGGUAUGAUUGCUGGAUAUAUGAUAAGAGUAUGUUUAGUCAUGCAGGAAACUGCCAAACGGUCUUCCAAAGUGGCGGUACUAGUUUGCACUUCCACCAGCAAUGAAUGAGAGUUUCUCUCAGCCUACAUCCUCACUAAUAUUUGGUAUUGUCAGUUUCCAGAUUUUGACCAUUCUAAGAGGUGUGUAGUGGUAUGUCAUUGUUGUUUUAAUUUGCAUUUCCCUGAUGACAUGUUGUGAUGUAUCUUUUCAGAUGGUCAUUUGCCAUCUGUAUAUCUUUUUGGCCUGGCUUUUUGACUACCAUGGAAAAUUGGGCCAAUGUCUUCAGGGAAAAUCCUAUAGUGACUUUUGGGUAUAAUUCCUGAGUUAUAAUUGACAGCCCAUAGAUUAUCAUUUCAAGGGAAAAUGGAAUACAGAAGUCUUUGUGGCUAACAUCUAUCAGAGAAUGUCCUCAAAAUUUCUUGACCCUGCCAAAAUCCUUCCCCAGUACAUCCACUGGCAUCAAUUACAUGUUAUUUAUCACUGUCUUCUGAGAGAAACUUCUGGUUUAUACCUUUGCACCUGUUUACAUUUUUUUAAAAAAGAGCAACAAAGGAAGAAUUCUGCAGUUUAGUCUCUAUUUCUCUUUCUCUUCUUAACAUUUACCCCCAGUUGUAGGCAGAAUAAUGGACCCCAAAGAUACCCACAGCCUAAUCUUCAAAACCUGUGAAUAUGUUGCCUUCCAAGGCAGAAGAGACUUCACAGGUAUGAAAAACAUGAAAAGAUUAUCCCGUAUUAUUCAGAUGUUCCGAAUUUAAUUACAUAAAUCCUUAAAAAGCAGAGAACUUUUCCAGUUGCAAACAAUCAGAGAGAUGGCAGCACAAGAAAGAUUCAACCUACUCUUGUUGCCUUUGAAGACAGAGAAAAGGAAGCCAUGAGCCAAGAGAUGCGGGAGACCACUAGAAGCUGGCAAAUUCAAGGAAAUAUUCUUCCCUAGAGCCUCUGGAAGGAACAUAGCCGACGACAUCUUGAUUUUAACCCAGUGAAAUUAUGUCAGACUUCUGAUCCAGAUAACUAUAAGAUAAUUAAUCUGUAUUGUUUAAUCUACCAUGUUUGUGGUAAUUUGUUAUGACAGCAAUAGAAAAUAAAUACUCUCACAACCUUCACAAAUGCCACACAUACACACAUACCCCUCCACUCUCACAUAGUGUAAUCUAAUAUUGUCUAGAAAUAGAUGGAACAUAAGUACCUAAGGGAGACAAUGGAAUUGUUUGACUUGAGAAAAAUGGCCUA